CACACACACACACACACACACACACACACACUAUGGAAGCUGAACACAUUUAAAUCACAGACUUAGGUCUGGACACCAUGCCAAAAGUCCGUGCUCUUCAUCCUCCUCCUCCUCCUCUGUUGGCCAACAGAUACGUCAUUCAUAAGAGACUCGGUAGAGGAAGUUUCGGCACUGUUUAUCUCAUUGAAGAUACAAAAACGUCCAGAGACAAACUACGUACAGAAGAGACACAAUUAAAGUGGAAACCUUCUGUUCAUGCACAGCUGUAUUUUUAUCUUGAAGCUUCCUUCAGUGCUCCAGUGGACAGAAGGGACCCGAGGUUAUGUAAAGCAGCUCAUGACAGUGAGGAGAAAGAGGAGAAAAAAGGAGAUUAAUAGGAGGAGACUAACACCGAAGUGUUCAAGGGAUUUUCUGCUUGUUAUCUCAAACCCAGUGUCAGACGUAUCACUGAAAAUUCAACACGUUAUUUCUUCCUCUCUGCAACGUACACGCUUCAAAAACCUCCUGCAAUUCCCCCCUUGAUGGAGUAUUGAACACCCGGAUCACUUCUGGAACACAUCACUUCUGCUCUGUUAAUAUAUAAAAAGAGGAAAUCUAAAGAGAAAGGAACCUGGACUUAGGAAACAAUGUCCUGUUACAACAUCACUGAGAAAUAACAGAAAUAACUCCUGCGGCUUGAGAAAAGCUCUCUCACUUUUAUUCUGAAGAAACACUUACUAAGGCUUAUUAACUUCCUCCUGCGUAACUCUGACAGAUAGAAGUUCUUGUACUUGGACUACAGACAGUCAGAAGUAAGCUUUCUGAUGACAGAGUAACUCUGAAUGGUCUUUCUUUUACAUCACGUGCAGCAGUAAAAGACCUCGGUGUGAUUAUUGAUACCGGUCUCUCACUUGAAGCUCAUGUAGAUAAUAUCACAAGUGUAGCCUUCUUUCAUCAUUUACAUUAAUACACAAAGAUUCAUUAAGCAGUAAGAGGUCAUAAACCUGAAGCUCAUCAUCAAUCCAACCUUCCACCUCAGCACCGUCGAGUUCCGGCUCCUGAUUGGUCAGAAGGUGUUGAUUUAGUUUCUAUACCAGACACUAGUGUAGCUGAACAUCACAGCUUUAUAUUCAGAUUAAUGCACUGCUUCUGAUACCGUAUCGUUUCUAUAGUAACAGCUCAUUAACAGGAACAGAAAGCAAUUAAUAAACAUGUAUUAAUAGUCGAUAUGACAAAGUUUUCUGUGAGGUGAAGUUUAUUUAAUCUUCAGGACAGAGGAGUUUACACUGGUUUGUAGUUACAAAAAAUUAACAUCAAGAGAGAGAAAAAAAGACAGACUUGUAAAGGAAGGAAUAUUUAUAGCUGCUAUAACGUACAGGAGAACAGGAAGGAACUGGAUUUGUGGAUGUUGCAGGAUAGAAAAUGUAAUUAAAAGAAUAUAAUGUGUCA